GUUGGACGCUGGCGGCAGGCCUAACACAUGCAAGUCGAGCGGAUGAUGGGCGCUUGCUCCUGGCUUCAGCGGGGGACGGGUGAGCAAUGCCUAGGAAUCUGCCUGGUAGUGGGGGAUAACGUCCGGAGACGGGCGCUAAUACCGCAUACGUCCUGAGGGAGAAAGAGGGGGAUCUUCGGAUCUCACGCUAUCAGAUGAGCAAAGGUCGGGUUAGCUAGGUGGUGGGGUAAAGGCCUCCCAAGGCGGCGAUCCGUAACUGGUCUGAGAGGAUGAUCAGUCACACUAGAACUGAGACACGGUCCAGACUCCGACGGGAGGCAGCAGUGGGGAAUAUUGCGCGAUGGACGAAAGCCUGAUCCAGCCAUGCCGAGUGUGUUAAGAAGGUCUUCGGAUUGUAAAGCACUGUAAGUAGUGAGGAAGGGCAGUAAGUUAAGACCGUGCUGUAUUGACGUUACCAACAGAAUAAGCACCGGCUAACUUCGUG
rnacentral:rRNA from 1 species